rnacentral:rRNA from 1 species
AUGGAGGUCAUCAACGCGGUGUUCCCUGUCAUCACCUGUCGUAAGCCGGCCAACACUAUUCUUGCUACGAACAGGCAGGGUAAGAGGAAGCCUGGUGCAAACCAUAGCCACUAUAAGAGGCUUUUGGGGGUUGCCCGUUUGCUGUCCCAGAUGGCUGAACCUGUUAUGAAGGGAGCAGUUCAGAUCAGCUUUUUACUUGCUAGAUCCUUUUUUGUAGAACUUUGCACUGCAGUGCUUGCUUUGCUUGCAAGAGUGAGGGUCCUGACCCAACAGAUUUUACUUGAUGUUGUAUCAGUAUACAACAAGGUUACUGAUCUUACAGAUAAAAAGCAGGCUGUUAAGAUCAGUAUUGAUAAAGUACAGGCUUUCAGAGAGUACUACCCCUCGAGCAACGAUCCCGGUACUAUCCUGGAGUGUGUAUGGGCGAAAGAUAAAUUUGUUUUGCACGAAAAGACAAAAGCUAGCAGUCUGAAAACCCAAGAUGAUGAUCUGAAGUCGUGCACCCCAGAUUCAUCAAUCCAGUAUGAGACCCUUGGACUUGUUAGUGAAGAGAUGGAAAACCUUGAUGGAGCAAACACCCCAGCCAAGCAACAACAGACUUCUCUGGCUGACCAACCAGAUAAAGCCACCCAUUGCGGCGAUGCUGGAGAUUCUCUCAGUGGGAGACAACUACCAAAUGAUCAGAACACCCCCGGUUCUCUCCUUGGCACGCCCCCUGCUGCGCCGACUCCACGAAGAGAUGCCAAGCCUGAUACGAGGAAGAGAGUGGCAUUCAUUGCGGUGGGGAAAACAAAAGUCACCAUGACACCGCCCGAAACAUCAUCCGUAGUUACCAAGAAGCAAAGGGUGUACACGAUUCGACAGAUCACCACAGAUCCUGCUUUGUAA